CUCUGCAGACAAUUUACCCUGAAUGUGCCUGAUCUCACUAGAUCUCAGAAGCUAUGCAGGUCUGAGCCUGGUUAGUAUUUGUGCAGGAUGCUGUCUAAGAAUACCAAGUGGUGUGGGCU
rnacentral:rRNA from 1 species